CAUGAGUGUUGUAUGUGUAUGAUUGAUAUGUGAUAUUUAGGUGCUAUGUGCUAAAGUGGUAUGUUAUAUGUUGUGUUUCCAGAGUAAAGAUGCGAGGAACUCGUCGAUCAGCUCGAUUGACUGGAGUCCCACCAGAGAGUGAGAGACCAGCUGCUCGUCCUCCUGCAUUGCCAAGGGCAAGGUCUCAGAGAUCUAGCAGGGAAGGUACGUCGAUAGACCCUAGAAGGUCUGUAGACGAGAGCAGAAGAGGAACAGUUAGGGGAGGAAGAUCAGAGGAAAGGAGGGAAGCGAUGGAGAUUGAUCAGUCUAGAGAUGAUAGCAUGGGUAUAGGCAGU
rnacentral:lncRNA from 1 species